GACGAACGCUGGCGGCGUGCCUAAUACAUGCAAGUCGAACGCUUCUUUCCUCCCGAGUGCUUGCACUCAAUUGGAAAGAGGAGUGGCGGACGGGUGAGUAACACGUGGGUAACCUACCCAUCAGAGGGGGAUAACACUUGGAAACAGGUGCUAAUACCGCAUAACAGUUUAUGCCGCAUGGCAUAAGAGUGAAAGGCGCUUUCGGGUGUCGUUGAUGGAUGGACCCGCGGUGCAUUAGCUAGUUGGUGAGGUAACGGCUCACCAAGGCCACGAUGCAUAGCCGACCUGAGAGGGUGAUCGGCCACACUGGGACUGAGACACGGCCCAGACUCCUACGGGAGGCAGCAGUAGGGAAUCUUCGGCAAUGGACGAAAGUCUGACCGAGCAACGCCGCGUGAGUGAAGAAGGUUUUCGGAUCGUAAAACUCUGUUGUUAGAGAAGAACAAGGACCUUAGUAACUGAACGUCCCCUGACGGUAUCUAACCAGAAAGCCACGGCUAACUACGUG
rnacentral:rRNA from 1 species